CAGUCGCCACGGUAAUACGUAGGGUGCAAGCGUUAAUCGGAAUUACUGGGCGUAAAGCGUGCGCAGGCGGUUUCGUAAGACUGAUGUGAAAUCCCCGGGCUUAACCUGGGAACUGCAUUUGUGACUGCGAGGCUAGAGUGUGUCAGAGGGGGGUGGAAUUCCACGUGUAGCAAUGAAAUGCGUAGAUAUGUGGAGGAACACCGAUGGCGAAGGCAGCCCCCUGGGAUAACACUGACGCUCAUGCACGAAAGCGUGGGGAGCAAACAGGAUUAGAUACCCCCGUAGUCCCUGUCUCUUAUAC
rnacentral:rRNA from 1 species